AGGAGGCGGCGGCGGCGAUGGAGGUGAAGCGGCUGAAAGUGACCGAGCUGCGGUCGGAGCUUCAGCGGCGGGGCCUGGAUUCGCGCGGCCUCAAAAUGGAUCUGGCUCAGCGGCUUCAGGAGGCACUGGAUGCUGAGAUGUUGGAGGACGAGGCUGGCGUUGGUGGGGCCGGGCCCGGCGGGGCCUGCAAGGCGGAGCCUCGGCCUGUGGCCGCGUCGGGCGGAGGCCCGGGCGGGGACGAGGAGGAGGACGACGAGGAGGAGGAGGAGGACGAGGAGGCGCUGCUUGAGGAAGAAGACGAGGAGCCACCACCUGCUCAGGCUUUGGGCCAGGCCGCGCCGCCGCCUCCGGAACCCCCGGAGACGUCAGCCAUGGAGGCCGAGCCCGAAGCUUCCGACAUACCGGCGGAGGCCACGGCCGGGUC
rnacentral:lncRNA from 1 species